CAGUGGACAUCAUUUAUACUGCGGCACCCAGGGAUCAGUUGGGGGUUCAGUGCCUUGGUCAAGGGCACCUCAGUCACAUUAUUGCCGACCCGAGACUCAAACUGAAAUCUUUAGGGUUAAGAGUCAAACUCUCUAACCACUAGGCCACGACUUCCACUGAUUCCUACAGCCAGUACGUUUGAACAGUUUUCACCUUAUAGGCCAAGUGAAAUUCUGCUCAUAAAAUCAGCUCGGCUGGUCUCGACUUAUUUUAUAUUUUGCCUGUUAAAUUUUUAUUUUGAACAAAUUUGAGUCAUGACAUGUCAACACAGAACAAAAACUGGAAUGUGAACACAGGGUCAGAUGUGAUCUGCGAUCUUUCUUUGAUUUAACACCUUGAAAACCACCAGGCUUUUUCCUUUUUGUUGUCACUUUAAAUUGGCUUUGUUCUGCCUCCAUUUCAAUACCAUCCCAAAGUAAAUCCGACUGCAAAACAUUAAUGCGUCCAUCAUCUCUUUGCAUGUCUGUCUUCAUAACAGAUUUAGAAAUCGGAGUCUUAUUGGCUGAGCUGCUUUUCUCAACCACAAUCUCGGGGUCAGUAACCUGAGCUGUUAAACUCUUACUCGCAGGCAGACUCAUGUCAUCUCUGGAUUUCCUUUUAUCUGACUCUGUCUGAGACGGAGCAUUUGAUGGUCUGGCCUCAGCCAACUCACCAACAUUACUCACACUAUCGGCAACCACUGACCUGCUUUCAUUAUUUUUACUAGGACAUGUGCGAAUUAAAUGGCCCAUCUCCUUGCAACUGAAACAUUUCUUUUUUCCCAUUGUGGCAUAAAUAACAAUCACAAUCAUCAAUUUUAAGAUGAAGUGACAAAUCGAGUUCUUCAUCUUCUUUUAAGAUCAUGACAAAAAAUGGCUAAAUGAAACAUAAUGUUUCAAGAGAGGGGACUUGCAGCCAGCUGAUAUCAUCUUGAUAGGUCACACCAGUUUCCCAUAUCUAGACAUGAUUUUCAAUAACAUUUAAUUAUUUAUGAACGGCAGGACAUUAGACAAUAACACUUUUUUUAGACGGCAUGGAAAGUGAGCAAAGAGCAAACACAACGGAAGUGAGAGAGAGCGAGAGAGAGAUAGAGAGACAUGACUAGAUAUGAUAACACACAACAUACUUGCCCAGUAGUCUGUUUGUCUGGAUAUAAUCUGUCUUCCGUCAUAGAUCAUUAUCCUUGAGUCUCUAUAGAGCAUUUGAACAGUCUGUCAUACUGAAAACAGCAGAAAGGAGCUAUGAGGAAGAUCUUUCUGGAUUGAGCGCAGAUAUAAAAUAUAAUUUCUUGUUUUUUUUUUUAAAUAAUUUUUAAAAGCUAGGCUGUAUUACCUUGUUGUUUUCAUUUUUUAUUGAUUUAUAUUUUUUCCUGUAGGUCAGAAUGCGGGUGCCAUCAAUUCUGUUGAUUCUGCAUUCUUGAAAAAAAUAUAUAUAUAAAGAAGAUGAAGAAAAGAAAAUCUGAUGGUAUCAGGAAUAUAUGUGACAUCAUUCAGAGAAAUGUUUCACUUGAGGAUCAGGCUUUGAGAAGUCACGACAGAAACCUUCACUCUCAUACGAUUUUUCUGCAGUUACUCCUUCAUCUGUGUGUUUGCAGCUCUAAUAAACAAAGUGUCUCUCCAGGUCACAGUCAAAGGGUUUAUCGGUGGUUCUGUCGUCUUGCCGUGUUCUUCAAUUAAACGUGAUCUUAAACUUCAAGAUAUUAAUGUGCACUGGAGACAAAAGGGCGGUAAAAUUGUGUAUGAUGUAGUUGGAGGUAAAGAUUUAAGAGCAGCACAGGAUCAGCAGUACAAGAACAGAGCUGAAACUUUCACUAAAGUGUAUGAGGAAGGAAACUUCUCUCUCAAAAUCAGCAAUCUCACUCAAGCUGAUGCAGGAAAAUACAUCUGCCACAUCACAAACAUCCGUUCAUCUGAAUGUCAGACUGUACAGCUGGUCAUCAAAGAGAAUGAACAAGAAAAGCCUGACGAUGAGGGGUCCACAUUGCACUGGGUUUACAUUGCUGUACUGUUAAUAGUAAUAGCUUGUUUCCUCAUAUUUCUCUGUAUAAAAAAAAUCUGUCUGGUGCAGGAACACUGAAUGAGAUCUUGAAACAUCAGUACAUUGCUGCCUCAAAUGUUGCUUCAAAUGUGUUUCUGUAAAUGUUAUUUCAAAUUUGUAUUUGAAUAAAAACUGCACAUUUAACAAA